rnacentral:rRNA from 1 species
GACGAACGCUGGCGGCGUGCUUAACACAUGCGAGUCGAACGGAAAGGCCCUGCUUUUGUGGGGUGCUCGAGUAGCGAACGGGUGCGUAACACGAGAGUAACCUGCCCUCGACUUUGAGAUAACUUCAGGAAACCGGGGCUAAUACCGGAUAGGAGCUCCCGCUGCAUGGUGGGGGUUGGAAAGUUUCGGCGGUUGGGGAUGGACUCGCGGCUUAUCCGCUUGUUGGUGGGGUAGUGGCUUACGAAGGCGUUGACGGGUAGCCGGCCUGGGAGGGUGACCGGCCACAUUGGGACUGAGAUGCGGCCCAGACUCCUACGGGAGGCAGCAGUGGGGAAUAUUGCACAAUGGGCGGAAGCCUGAUGCAGCAACGCCGCGUGCGGGAUGACGGCCUUCGGGUUGGAAACCGCUUGCGCCUGUGACGAAGCGUGAGUGACGGUAAUGGGUAAAGAAGCACCGGCUAACUACGUG